rnacentral:rRNA from 1 species
UACGUAGGGGGCGAGCGUUGUCCGGAAUUACUGGGCGUAAAGGGUGCGUAGGCGGUUCAUUAAGUUAGAAGUGUAAUACCCAGGGCUUAACUCGGGUGCUGCUUCUAAAACUAAUGGGCUUGAGUGCAGGAGGGGAGAGUGGAAUUCCUAGUGUAGCGGUGGAAUGCGUAGAUAUUAGGAAGAACAUCAGUGGCGAAGGCGACUCUCUGGCCUGUAACUGACGCUGAGGCACGAAAGCGUGGGUAGCAAACAGGAUUAGAUAC